ACGUCCCGAUUCUCUAUCUGAAGCAGCAUGCGAGUAUUCCCAUGAGUGCAGCUAGUCGAGUCCAUGCUGGCUGUGUAUAGAGCUGCGGUGUUGUAAGCACUUCCAUUAGUAGAAGGAUGGUGGUAGUACCAUCAGCGGGACGUACGUACUGAACGAAAGCACCGGCUACUACGUGCCAGCAGCACAGUAAUAAGACGGUGCGAGCGAUGAGUCGAUCUUACUGAGUGUAAGCGUACGCAGCAGUGAUAGUGAGAUAUGAAAGCCCCGGGCUCAAUCUGCGAAGCUACAUUCAGAACGAGUCAACUAGAUUGUGAUAGAUAGUGGUAGAUUGUCAUGCGUAGCGGUGAGAUGACGUAGAGAUAUAUAGGAAUACCGACGGAGAAGGCAGCCACCUGCGUCAACAAUCACGCUCAUUUAUGAAAGAAUGGGGAGCGAGCAAGCUUAGUUACCUUGCUAGUUCGCGCACUAAACGAUGUAUAUUAGAAGCUGGGUUCGUGCGUCAAUUUUUUCAAAGAUAACGCAUUAAGUAGAUCGACUGGGGAGUACGUCCGCAAGGAUAAAAAUAAAAUAAAUGAAUGGGGGCCCGCCCAAGCGGUGGAGCAUGCGGUUGAUUUAGAUGCAUCGAGAAGAACGUACCUUACACUCGCCAUCCAGAGAAAUCACUAGAGAUAGAUUUGUGCGUUCGGUAAGUAUGUGACAGGCAGUGCAUGGAUGUCGUCAGCUCGUGUUGUGAGAUGUUGGGUUAGGUACCGCAACGAGCGCAACCCCCAUCUUUCGUUGCCAGCGAGCAAGGUCGGGAACUAUAAGGAGAGAGCCGGUGAUAAACCGGAGGAAGGUGGGGAGGACGUCAAGUCAUCAUGGCCCUUCCGUGUAGGGCUACACACGUGCUACAAUCGCAGGUACAGACGGCAGCAAGCGAGCGAUAGUGAGUGAAUCCCUUAAAGCUUGUCGUAGUCCGGAUUGGAGUGAGCAACUCGACUCCAUGAAGUCGGAAUCGCUAGUAAUCGCAAAUCAGAAUGUUGCGGUGAAUACGUUCCCGGGCCUUCUACACACCGCCCGUCACACCAUGCGAGUGGGUGGCACCAGAAGUAGGUAGAUUAUCUUUCCGGAGGGCGGUUACCACGGUGUGAUUCAUGCCUGGGGGGAAGUAGUUACAAGGUAGCCGUA
rnacentral:rRNA from 1 species